rnacentral:rRNA from 1 species
GAUGAACGCUGGCGGCGUGCCUAAUACAUGCAAGUCGAGCGAACGGACGAGAAGCUUGCUUCUCUGAUGUUAGCGGCGGACGGGUGAGUAACACGUGGAUAACCUACCUAUAAGACUGGGAUAACUUCGGGAAACCGGAGCUAAUACCGGAUAAUAUUUUGAACCGCAUGGUUCAAAAGUGAAAGACGGUCUUGCUGUCACUUAUAGAUGGAUCCGCGCUGCAUUAGCUAGUUGGUAAGGUAACGUCUUACCAAGGCAACGAUGCAUAGCCGACCUGAGAGGGUGAUCGGACACACGGGAGCUGAGACACGGUCCAGACUCCUACGGGAGGCAGCAGUAGAGAAUCUUCCGCGAUGGGCGAAAGCCUGACGGAGCAACGCCGCGUGAGUGAUGAAGGUCUUCGGAUCGUAAAACUCUGUUAUUAGGGAAGAACAUAUGUGUAAGUAACUGUGCACAUCUUGACGGUACCUAAUCAGAAAGCCACGGCUAACUACGUG